GGGGGUCGGUCCCCCGGUCCCCCUCCCGGCCUCGUUACCCGUCAGCCGGGCGAAUCCGGCGAUGCUCUCGGGCACCGGGAGCCGCUUGAGGUGACACCGUGACCUAAUGAAAGGCCCCACUGCAUGAAAGUACAGAAAGAGAAAGUUUCUUACCAAAGGAAAAGUGGAGUUGUGAUCAAACGGCUCGUGGUUAAUCCGCCAGGAAAAUGGUUUAUCUACGCAUGAAAUAUUCAUCGCAUUUGUUGGGCAUCUUGCGCACAGCAGUGCGCUCUCAGAGGAGAUUCGAGAGGGAUUAAGGCAUCUCCCGCUCGAUCUCAUCAUCUCUAACCGCUGCACGAUCUCUAGCCUCACCAACUCCGAAAUCCCUCUCUCAGAUCACAACCCCUCUCACCGGUCUCCCCUUCACAACAUCGCUAAGAUCCGCCUUUUCCUCUCCAUCCAAACCGCUAAU